GAUGAAGAACGUAGUGAAAUGAGAUAAGUAAUGUGAAUUGCAGAAUUCAGUGAAUCAUCGAAUCUUUGAACGCACAUUGCGCCCGCCAGUAUUCUGGCGGGCAUGCCUGUUCGAGCGUCAUUACAACCCUCAGGCCCCCGGGCCUGGCGUUGGGGAUCGGCGGAGCCCCCCGUGGGCACACGCCGUCCCCCAAAUGCAGUGGCGGUCCCGCCGCAGCUUCCAUCGCGUAGUAGCUAACACCUCGCGACUGGAGAGCGGCGCGGCCACGCCGUAAAACACCCAACUCUUCUGAAGUUGACCUCGAAUCAGGUAGGAAUACCCGCUGAACUUAAGCAUAUCAAUAAGCGGAGGA
rnacentral:misc_RNA from 1 species